AACGAACGCUGGCGGCAGGCUUAACACAUGCAAGUCGAACGCACCUUUCGGGGUGAGUGGCAGACGGGUGAGUAACACGUGGGAACGUACCCUUCAGUUCGGAAUAACCCUGGGAAACUAGGGCUAAUACCGGAUACGGCCGAGAGGCGAAAGGUUUCCUGCUGAGGGAUCGGCCCGCGUCCGAUUAGCUAGUUGGUGUUGGUAACGGCUCACCAAGGCGACGAUCGGUAGCUGGUCUGAGAGGAUGGCCAGCCACAUUGGGACUGAGACACGGCCCAAACUCCUACGGGAGGCAGCAGUGGGAAUAUUGGACAAUGGGCGCAAGCCUGAUCCAGCCAUGCCGCGUGAGUGAUGACGGCCUUAGGGUUGUAAAGCUCUUUUACCUGGGAAGAUAAUGACGGUACCAGGAGAAUAAGCCCCGGCUAACUUCGUGCCAGCAGCCGCGGUAACAC
rnacentral:rRNA from 1 species